rnacentral:tRNA from 1 species
GCCCUCGUAGCUCAGCGGUAGAGCAGCUGGCUGUUAACCAGAAGGUCGAGCGUUCAAGUCGCUCCGAGGGCG